ACAUACGACCAUAGGAAGCAGAGAACAGGGCUUCCCGUCCGCUCAGCCGUACUUAAUCUACUUGCCGGCUGGCUAGUAGUUGGGUGGGUGACCACCAGCGAAUCCCAGCUGUUGUAUGUU
rfam:Coccidioides immitis RMSCC 2394 supercont1.7 genomic scaffold, whole genome shotgun sequence.